GGAAGCUGUGGGAGGAUGCCAAGCACAGUGACCUGAGGUCCUUUUGCAGAGAGGGAGGAAGAAUCCAAGAGCUCCAGCCACAGAGGUGGAGACUGACAUCUCUGAGAUCAGUGGAUUGUAUCCUACAUCCCCAGCUGCCUCAAAAUUCUACCAUUCCCAUCCUCUUGCCAUUCGAGGAAGUGAAGAAAAUAACAUCUUUUAAAAGAAGGAAAAAAGGAAAGGAAAAUAUGCAGCAAAGUCUCCUGUGUGUGUUUUUGACUUAGUAAUAUCUGUAGCCAAUUUUCCCAAGAGACACAAACAAACACAUGCCGAACCAGAAUAUCAAUGAGGUCUUUUUUAGAGCAGGCACAUUAAAAUGCAAAACAGGAGAUAAUGAGAUAAAGCAGCAAGUUACAGGUUUCUUAAUUCCAGAUUUUUAAAGCCUGUGAAGUAGCUUGAGGAAGAGGGAGCUGAGUUAAAUCUAGUGGAGGGCUUGGCUGCAGGGCAGCUCGUGAGGCUGAGAGACUAAGGGUGGAAAAGAGGAGCACGGAGAGGGGGAGAGAUCAGGGACCCCGAGGGAUGUAGAAGCCGACUUUGGUGGACUGUAGAUCUACAGCUGUUCCUAGUCUAGGUCCAGACUUUCCCGGUGGGAAUCACUGUAGCAACACGUCUGACUUAUAGGAUUCAUAUGGAGGGGGAUAGGAGACCCAGAACUGUAAAUUCAAACCGUGUGUACGUUACUUCUAUGUCUUCAAUUCAAAAGCAUUUAGGGCUUUUCAAAACAGCCCCUUUCACUACAGGAAAACUCCCCCACACUCACAAUUUAAAGGAAACAGAUCUUUCAUGUUUACCCUUCCUGUUUCUUGUAGGAGGUCUCGAAAUAAAGCAGAAACUUUGGCAUGUUCUUCUACCUCCUAAGGGAACACACACCUUUCUCUCUGGGGACGCUCAGAGCUUGUCUCACUGGUGGUCACAGGGAGCUGAACAGGACUCUGUCACUCCCCACUUCUUCAUAAACUGACCCAGGACCAGGGGAGGCACCAACCCAAACACAGAGAUAGCAAAAGAGAUCCUCAUCCAAACUCCAUGGAGCUGACAGUCCACAGGCCAGCUCAGAAAAUGGCAGAGAGGACCAUGAACCAAGAGGUUUUCCCCUCUCAGAUCUGCAGCUGAAUCUGUGGCAGAGCCCUACGAUCCCUGACUAUGGACACCACCCUCCCCAGGGAGAAAACAGUUCUGCCAAAGCACAAGUCUGGAGUAAAACUGACUUUUGUAACAGCUUUUAUCCCUUCAUUGAUCACAGGAGCAAACCAGGUGCCUCACAGCUACUGCAGGAGUCUGAAUUAGGCACAGAAACACAGGAUGGUUUGGAUUGGAAGAGAACUAAAAGCUCUUCUCAUUCCACCCCUGCCAUGGGCAGGGACACCUUCCACUAGCCCAGGCUGCUCACAGCCCUAUCCAACCUGCCCUUAGACACUUCCAGGGAUGGGGCAGCCACAGCUCCUCUGGGCAACUUGUUCUAGUCCCUCACCACACUUACAAUAAAGAAUUUCUUCCUAACAACUAGUCUAACCUGCACUCUUCUAGCCCAAAGCCAUUCCCCCUUAUCCUGUCCCUCCAGGUCCUUGUCCAAAAUCCCUCUCCAGCUCUCUUGGAGCCCCUUUUAGGCACUAGAAGGGACUCUAAGGUCUCCCUGGAGCCUUCUCUUCUCCAGGCUGGGCACCUUCAGCUCUCUCAGCCUGUCUCCACAGGAGAGGUGUUCCAGCCCUGGCAGCAUCAUUGAUAAGUCUUCCCAAGCCUGGCUUAAGCACCCACUUCCCUCUCUCCAUCCUUCAGGUGGGUGCUGGGAGGGUAAGUGGUUAAGUUCUGUUUC